CCUACGGGAGGCAGCAGUGGGGAAUAUUGCACAAUGGGCGAAAGCCUGAUGCAGCCAUGCCGCGUGUGUGAAGAAGGCCUUCGGGUUGUAAAGCACUUUCAGUCAGGAGGAAAGGUUAGUAGUUAAUACCUGCUAGCUGUGACGUUACUGACAGAAGAAGCACCGGCUAACUCCGUGCCAGCAGCCGCGGUAAU
rnacentral:rRNA from 1 species